AGUAAGUAUACUUUAUUCUUAAUAUAGCACAUACAUUAAUGAUGGCUUAUUGUAUUUAAAUUUCAUAGGCACAAUAUAGCUUGUUACAGUAAUCCUUGUGUAAUAUUUUGUUGGUUUUUUUUGCUUUUAUUUGCACUGUAAAAGGGUCAUAUUGGGCUGAAGCUCACACAUUCUUGUCAUUGAUGAAUACUAUAGAUAACGCAUAAAAAAAUGCAAACAAAUUAAUUAGUUAAUAAAAAAAAUUCAAUUGCAAUUUGCUAAACAUUUCAAGCUUAUAGUUUCUGCUGUCAGCAAACCAGUGAGUUAUUCUGCAAUGCUUGUUAUCUGUGCUUUACCGGCACAGUAAGGAUUUCUGGUGAGGACAUCAAGCACAGUAUUACAAUUUGAUCAUAAAGAGUUCAAAGGAAAACAUAGUCUUAAAUUAGAGGGGCAAAGGUUUAAAAAUAAUAUCAGUUAGUAUCACUUUACUGAGAGGGUAGUGGAUGCAUGGAAUAGCCUUCCAGCUGAAGUGGUAGAGGUUAACACAGUAAAGCAGUUUAAGCAUGCGUGGGAUAGGCA